rnacentral:rRNA from 1 species
UACGGAGGGAGCUAGCGUUAUUCGGAAUUACUGGGCGUAAAGCGUACGUAGGCGGCUUUGUAGGUAAGAGGUGAAAGCCCGGAGCUCAAACUCCGGAACUGCCUUUUAGACUGCAUCGCUUGAAUCAGGAGAGGUGAGUGGAAUUCCGAGUGUAGAGGUGAAAUUCGUAGAUAUUCGGAAGAACACCAGUGGCGAAGGCGGCUCACUGGACGCGUAUUGACGCUGAGGUGCGAAAAGCGUGGGGAGCAAACAGG